rnacentral:rRNA from 1 species
GACGAACGCUGGCGGCGUGCCUAAUACAUGCAAGUCGAGCGGGCCUCCGGAGGUGCUUGCACCUCCGGAAGGCCAGCGGCGGACGGGUGAGUAACACGUGGGCAACCUGCCUUUGAGGCCGGGAUAACACCGGGAAACCGGUGCUAAUACCGGAUGCGUCCCCUUUCGCGCCUGCGAGAGGGGAGAAAGACGGUCGUUAAGGCCGUCGCUCAAAGAGGGGUCCGCGGCGCAUUAGCUGGUUGGUGGGGUAAGGGCCUACCAAGGCGACGAUGCGUUGCCGACCUGAGAGGGUGAUCGGCCACACUGGGACUGAGACACGGCCCAGACUCCUGCGGGAGGCAGCAGUAGGGAAUCAUCCGCAAUGGGCGAAAGCCUGACGGUGCAACGCCGCGUGAGUGAGGAAGGUUUUCGGAUCGUAAAGCUCUGUUGUGAGGGAAGAACAGCUUCCGGAGGAAAUGCCGGAGGUUUGCCGGUACCUCACCAGAAAGCCCCGGCUAACUACGUGCCAGCCGCCGCAGUAA